GACGAACGCUGGCGGCGUGCCUAAUACAUGCAAGUUGAGCGCUGAAGGUUGGUACUUGUACCAACUGGAUGAGCAGCGAACGGGUGAGUAACGCGUGGGGAAUCUGCCUUUGAGCGGGGGACAACAUUUGGAAACGAAUGCUAAUACCGCAUAAAAACUUUAAACACAAGUUUUAAGUUUGAAAGAUGCAAUUGCAUCACUCAAAGAUGAUCCCGCGUUGUAUUAGCUAGUUGGUGAGGUAAAGGCUCACCAAGGCGAUGAUACAUAGCCGACCUGAGAGGGUGAUCCGCCACGUUGGGACUGAGACACGGCCCAAACUCCUACGGGAGGCAGCAGUAGGGAAUCUUCGGCAAUGGACGAAAGUCUGACCGAGCAACGACGCGUGAGUGAAGAAGGUUGUCGGAUCGUAAAACUCUGUUGGUAGAGAAGAACGUUGGUGAGAGUGGAAAGCUCAUCAAGUGACGGUAACUACCCAGAAAGGGACGGCUAACUACGUG
rnacentral:rRNA from 1 species